UUUAAAGUCUGACCUGCCCAAUGAUGUUUGAAUGGCUGCGGUAAUUUGACCGUGCAAAGGUAGCAUAGUCAUUAGUUUUUUAAUUGGAAGCUGGAAUGAAUGGUUGGACGAGAAGGAAGCUGUCUCGGUUUGAGUUAAUUAGAAUUUUAUUUUUAAGUUAAAAAGCUUAAAUAAAGUUAAAAGACGAGAAGACCCUAUAGAGUUUUAUAUUUAUUUAUAUAAUACGAAUUAUAUGCUUGUAUUAUUUAGAUAGGUGUUUUGUUGGGGUGAUGGUAAAAUUAAAUUAACUUUUAUUAUUAUUUUACAUUUAUUAUUGGCUUAAUGAUCCAUUAUUUAUGAUUAUAAGAUGAAAUUACCUUAGGGAUAACAGCGUAAUUUUUUUUGAGAGUUCGUAUUGAAAAAAAGGGUUGCGACCUCGAUGUUGGAUUAAAAUUUACUUUUGGUGCAGGCGCUAUAAAGUUAGGUCUGUUCGACUUUUAAAAUUUUACAUGAUCUGAGUUUAAACCGGUGUGAGCCAGGUUGGUUUCUAUCUUUAAUGUUAUUAUAUAUUUUAGUACGAAAGGAUUUGGUAUGUAUAAUAUUUAUUUAUAUUUGAAUAAUAUUA
rnacentral:rRNA from 1 species